rnacentral:rRNA from 1 species
AUGUCAAGCUCGUCCAUCUCAAGAUCGACGGGCGGGUCAUCUCGCAGGCAGAGCCACACCCCGGUGCCGUACCGACAGACUCCUCUAGCAUACGAGCCGGCGAAGUUUUGCUUGUGCGCUCCGAGGGCAAAAGCGCCGAUGUGGAUCUCGUGGAGUGAUUCCAACCCAGGGAGGAGAUACCUUGCCUGUCCAAGGGGGAGGGUGAGUUCAUCUUACUCCAUCAUUUUCCAUAUGCACUACUUUAAUUGA